CAGUAGCCGCGGGAAUACGUAGGUCCCGAGCGUUGUCCGGAUUUAUUGGGCGUAAAGCGAGCGCAGGCGGUUAGAUAAGUCUGAAGUUAAAGGCUGUGGCUUAACCAUAGUACGCUUUGGAAACUGUUUAACUUGAGUGCAAGAGGGGAGAGUGGAAUUCCAUGUGUAGCGGUGAAAUGCGUAGAUAUAUGGAGGAACACCGGUGGCGAAAACGGCUCUCUGGCUUGUAACUGACGCUGAGGCUCGAAAGCGUGGGGAGCAAACAGGAUUAGAUACCCCGGUAGUCCCUGUCUCUUAUACA
rnacentral:rRNA from 1 species